rnacentral:rRNA from 1 species
AGUGAACGCUGGCGGUAGGCCUAACACAUGCAAGUCGAACGGCAGCACAGAGGAGCUUGCUCCUUGGGUGGCGAGUGGCGGACGGGUGAGGAAUACAUCGGAAUCUACUCUGUCGUGGGGGAUAACGUAGGGAAACUUACGCUAAUACCGCAUACGACCUACGGGUGAAAGCAGGGGAUCUUCGGACCUUGCGCGAUUGAAUGAGCCGAUGUCGGAUUAGCUAGUUGGCGGGGUAAAGGCCCACCAAGGCGACGAUCCGUAGCUGGUCUGGGAGGAUGAUCAGCCACACUGGAACUGAGACGCGGUCCAGACUCCUACGGGAGGCAGCAGUGGGGAAUAUUGGACAAUGGGCGCAAGCCUGAUCCAGCCAUACCGCGUGGGUGAAGAAGGCCUUCGGGUUGUAAAGCCCUUUUGUUGGGAAAGAAAUCCAUCUGGUUAAUACCCGGGUGGGAUGACGGUACCCAAAGAAUAAGCACCGGCUAACUUCGUGCCAGCCGCCGCGGUAA